UGGCUCAGUUUCCUGGUGGGGUGGGCUCAGCCUGCCUCACCUCCCUUCACAGGAGCCUAGAGCAGAGAGGCUGGGAGCCCUCCCGCACAGGGGAGGCGAUUAAGACAGAAGCCUCGCCUGCAUUGUCCUUGCCUCACAUUU
ensembl:scaRNA